rnacentral:lncRNA from 1 species
GACCGGAGCUGUUCCUAUUCGGCCAUCUUGGCUCUAGUUUUUUGUAUUUUUAGUAGAGACAGUGUUUCACCGUGUUAGCCAGGGUGGUCUUGAUCUCUUGACCUCGUGAUCCGCCCACCUCGGCCUCCAGAAGUGCUGAGAUUACAGGCAUGAGCCACCACGUCCAGCCUAGAAAAUGGGUUUCUAUUAUUUGAGGACAUCAAUUAGUUGAGUUGUGUGCAGUGUGGUGGUGGAGACAGUGGAGACAGUUGAGCAGCAUGUGUGCAAGCACAGACACAUCAAAGAGAGAGGUUUCUGUGACUGGCAGAUACAGCAUGAAAUGUGAGUUCUCUGCAAACCGUAGCUAAUAUUGGAAAUGUGUAUUGUGGCUUGAAGUUAGGUAUCCUACCUGAGCUCACGUAUCUUUUCUCUUGCUUCCAGCACAAGAAGGUCUCUGCGGAAGAUGCUCUUUGUGGAGUGAAUCGUUAACUGGGGAGGAGGCCACCUAGAUUCAGUUAUAGAACAUCGUGGAUUAGAUUGUCAUACAUCAAGGAGCCGAGGACCAUUCCCUGGGUAGCGAAGGACUUCACUGGACCUCCAGAAUCUUCUUCAUGGAUAUUCAUUGCGUAAGAUAAAGACUCAGUGCAUUAGCACUGAGAUUCUAAUUCUGCAUUAGAACUGAGAGUUAAUGUAAAGUGGUGUUAAAAUGAGUGUUAUAUGUACACAUAUUUAUUUUUUGAUUGUUGGUUAAUGUUUGCUCCCUAAACUAGACUCUAAAAUCCAUCAUAGCAAAGACUGAAUCAGUUUAUCACUGUGUCCCUAAAUAACUAUGAAUGAAUGAGUGAAUAUAUGUAGAUAUGUAUCACUGAGCAUUCCUUGAGUGUUUCAGUGGGUGUGGAGCAGCUGUCUCUGUCAAAAGGCACAGGAUGUGGUGGGGUGUGGGGUGAGAAGGUUUGUGGUGUGAUCCACGAUCCACAGCCAGCAGAUUUCCUGACUCAGAGCUCAGAAGAGAGAAACCUGCACACUUGAAAUGUAACAGGAGAAAUGCUUAUAAGUACACUACUGUGAAGUCAAAUACAAUAGCAUAUUUCAGUGACAUGAAAAAUAAUAAAUAUGCAUUAUAUAGAUUCUCCUUGAUUUACGAUGGAGCUACGUCCUGAUAAGCCCAUCACAGGUUGAAGAUAUCAUUAAGUAGAAAAUACAUGUAAUACACCUAACCUACCAAGCAUCAUAGCUUAGCUCAGCCUCCCUUAAACAUCCUCAGAACACUUACCUUAGCCUACAGUUGGGCAAAUUAUCUGGCAACACGGCACACUCUAGGGUGUGGGUUGCUUACCCUCGUGAUCACAGGGCUGGCUGGGAGCUGCAGCUCGCUGUCACUGCCCAGCAUCCCAAGAGUAUUGUACUGUUUAUCAACAUCCUGGGGAAAGAUGAAAACUCAAAAUUUGAAGUUUGAUUUCUACUGAAUGCAUUUUGCUUUCGUACCAUUGUAAAGUAGACAAAUCAUAAGUCAAGCCAUCAUAAGUUGAGGACCAUCUAAAAAACAACGCAGCUGCCUGUCUUGUUUCAGCUUUGGUCCAUGUAGAAUACAUGUACAUUUGUCUUCAUUUAUAAAGAUGCCAAUGCUAAUUUAGCCAGUUGUCCCAAUGCACAGCAUAAGAGGUAGUUACUUUUUUUUUUUUUUUUUUUUUUUGAGAUAGAGGCUUGCUCUGUUGCCCAGGCUGGAGUACAGUGGUGCAAUCAUGGCUCACUGCAAACUGCCUCCCAGGUUCAAGCGAUUCUUGUGCCUUAGCCUCCCGAGUAGCUGGGACUAUAGGCAUGCGCCACUAUGCCUGGCUAAUUCUUGUAUUUUUAGCUGAGACAAAGUUUCUCUAUGUUGGCCAGGCUGAGGUGAUUACUUUUAAAACAUUGUAAAUGGCUUCUAAAGCAAUUGUUGAUAGUUAUUCAUCAUGCAGUACUCAUACACAUUUAUAUAUAAAUAUAAAUAAUUGCUUUUCAGUCCAACAUUGCUAUUAGUUUUUAUUCAAUUUCAAAUUCUGGUUUUGUGACUCGUUUGUAGCAUCAGCUAUCUUAGCGUCAUGGGUGGGCUGACUGGCCCUUUAACAUCAUCUGCAGCUUUUUUCAAGCCAUACUGGGUGCAAAAUUGACAGGUAAGUAAUUGAGAAAUAUGGAUUAUACUGCAAAUAAUUUUAAUUUUAAAUUUCUCGAUGGUGGAAUUUGGAUAAGUGUUUGUGUAAUUCUUACUGUAUCUUUAGAGAUAGAAAAGAUAUAUGUGGAUUGAUUUCUUCCUUCAUGGGAAAACAGUUAAGAAGACAAGGCUAACAGAGGUAGAAUGCUUUUCUAUCAUUUUGUAUAAUUCAAUAUCAUACACCAUAUUAUGUGAUAAAGAACUGUAGAUGCUAUAGAAAUAUACAGAAAAAAGAGAUGAUUCAGCUGAAUUAAUCAGAGAAGGCUCACAUGGGCCUCAGAGCUUGAGUUGGAUAUGGUACCCCGAAGAUAAAGGGGAGGGAAACCAGACAGGUGAGCCUGUGCACAUGAAAUGUGGGAAGGAGUACACACAGCACAUGUCCAUUAAGAUUAGAGGCUGUGUGGCUGUGAGUCCUCAGAAAUACGGUAGGGUGGGGAGGAUGGGUACAAAUACCAAGAGACUAGAAAACGACUGUUGUAUAGCUUUGAAAAGACUCCAUACACUUCCAUAGUUUGCUAUGUGAGUGACAUGUGUUUUGCUGUGCUAAGAACUUGCCCUGCCCCUUGGGAAUGUGAUGGUUCCACUUUAUCAGACUCCAUAUGUGAGUUACUGAUCUCAACCACUGGACUCCAUCAUACAUAUAAACCUAAGAGUUUGACAGAGACUUUGGGAGCUUAGGUUGUGGCAGGGUGCACUCCGUCAGCCGCCUCUUUAAAAUCUGAGAGCUCAGGCUACGGCAGGGCCACACCCUAUUGGCUUUGGAGCUGAUCUCUGGAGCCUCACCAGCCUACACUAGCACCUCUCAAGCACUAAGCAUUCUUGCAUGUCAUUAUAGAUCUUCACUGUGUUGUUCACUGUGUUGAUUGAGCCUUCUCUUCCAAGAACCUCUUGUAUAAAGCUACACCUCAAACUUUAAUUAGACUUACAUUCCACCGAGGCUUGCAUCUAUCGUCAUUGAGCAACCAGACUUUAAUAAUUGGACUCUAACAAAAUUGAAGCUACGUGGUUACUGUACCACAUUAAUAGUACACAAUAAUGUACACUGCACACUAUAUAUACAGUACAGUAUGCAACGUAUAC